GUGUCAGCAGCCGCGGUAAGACGAACCGUGCGAACGUUGUUCGGAAUCACUGGGCUUAAAGGGCGCGUAGGCGGGUCUUCAAGUCCGGGGUGAAAGCCCACGGCUCAACCGUGGAAGCGCCUUGGAUACUGGAGAUCUCGAGGGAGGUAGGGGCGUGCGGAACUUCCGGUGGAGCGGUGAAAUGCGUAGAUAUCGGAAGGAACACCGGUGGCGAAAGCGGCGCGCUGGACCUCUUCUGACGCUGAGGCGCGAAAGCCAGGGGAGCAAACGGGAUUAGAUACCCCGGUAGUCCUGGCCCUAAACGAUGGGUACUAGGUUGUGGACUUACAUGGGUUCACAGCCGAAGCAAAAGUGUUAAGUACCCCGCCUGGGGAGUAUGGUCGCAAGGCUGAA
rnacentral:rRNA from 1 species